CGGCUCCGGCCGGCACAGGUCGGCGGGACGCAGCCCCUCAGGCAGGGCAGUGACACGGCGUGCAGGGGAGGAAGGGAAGCAUGAAGAGCGCGUGGGGGAACUGCUGUGCCCGGCUGUCACUUCCAUGGACGCCUGCUCAACACAACAAUCCUCCGCGGGGAUCUCCCGCAGCAGGUUUAGAGAAGGCACCGGCCAUUCUCGCCCUUAAAUAUUUAGCAGUUUAACCCAGCUGCAUCCUCCGGUGGGAGUGCCGGUGGUGUCUGUGGUCAUGCUCCAGUGUUGGAAUACCGGGUGGCGGAGCUUGGAGUAGUGGGCAAAGGCCCAGCAGGGCUGCGCAGGCAAAGGGAGCUGCCCGUGUGUGAGUACACGGGCCGGGCUUCACACAGGAGAGAGGUGCACAGCUUAGGCUGGUGGUUACCUACGGAAAAGUGCUUGUCACCAUGGUGACCAAGCAAUGCCGCAUCUUCCUGGGAGUGGAAAGCAGCAGCCCCUGAGCUUUGCUGUGUGAGACCGUUUUGCUACCAGCAUCCCAUAAUUUGAUAAGAAGUUAUUACUGCUCCAUGCAAACUUUGAUCCUUUUCAGGAAGUCCUAAAUAUUCAUUCCAAAAGAAAAGUCUCUAAAAGCCCUCAUCAUUGGUGGCUUUCAGAAAGGUUUACAGCAAACUCCCCUGACCCUCUUGCAUGUCUCUCUAAGAAGAGGGUAGCUCCUAAACAUAAUCCAAGAGACUUGUCUGGUUAUUUACUGGUUCUCAUAUGUGGGACUUAAAGGCUUUUAACCAGAAGGAGGGAAACAAAAGAAAAGAAGCAAAAAGAUCCAAGAAAGGAAGGAGAGAAGGAGGGAAGGAAGGAGGGCAGGUGGACUUAUCCUUAUCUGAGUCUCCUUAGGAUCAUGGAGAAUGAAGUUUGGCUGAUGGAAGUAGCAGCAUUUGGGGAGAAUUCUGUUGCAGGAAUAGUGGAGCAGAAAUCUCCACAUCAAAACUGAAUUUUGCCUACACUGCUCAGAAUCCACUGGCUGCCUCUGGCACUGCCUUGGGGGAAUCUCUGCUUGAUCCUUUGAGACCACCCAGCUCAGGUUCUCUGGAGAGGCAAUAUAUUGUCUUCCCUCUGUUUAAGACUGUAAUCAUCUUUGCAGCAUAUUGUUCUGGGGUCAGCAUCCUCAGGGAUACAUUGGUGUAGCAAAUGACGGAAAGAAGCUGGAGAGGAAAACCAAAGUGAAUCCAGCCAAGGCAAGAUAAGCUUCUCUUCCAGCCAUGCUGGCAGAUUUCUUUUGCCUUCUUCCCUACACUUCUUAUAUGUUUUGCGCACAGACUGAGUUUAUUCAGCUUCCAAGAUGUGUUCUUUUUCAAAAGGUGUUUUAUUGUAUGGAGCCAGAGGAAACAUGAGGAGCAACCAGGCACCAAUGGCACAUUAAGAAGAUGUGUCAUUGACACAACAUAUCAAUGAGAAGUAAAUCCAGAUUCUGUUUUUAAGGACAUUAUGUUCCAAGAGAUGUACAUAAAUCUGACUAAAAUGCCUUGCUCAUUGGAUCUGAAUCUAGCAUUUAGUCCUGAUUGCCACUGAAAUCCAGGUCAGAUUUGUCUUUUUAUUUGCACUUGUGUUAACAGAUGAGAGGAGCUGACACAUGUGUCUCACACCAGCAUUGUAUCUAAUGUUGUCUAAAGGAGGUCUGCCUCAAGGAACCAGCAGCCCUUAGGUGUGAUAUGAUAAGAUGCAGCACGCUGUAAUGGAGACAUUUCCACUAAGUUUGGUGGGGGAAAAGGCUGCAUGAUUGCCUGCAUGUUUGCUGGAAAUGGAAGUGAUACAGCAGUGCCCACAGGCCAAAACCUUUUAUGUGAGGAAUUACCUGGAAUAAACAGUAAAGGUAAUGGAAGCUGCUGUCGGAAUACUCGGUAGAGGGACUGUGUCUAAAUCAUAUGGCUAAAACUAAAUAGAGAGAAAGAUGAGCUCAAAUACCUAGGCAGAACUGUCCUGUGGGACUUCCUUUUUUAUUUAGUCUUUUUUUUUUUCUAAAUUCACUAGCAAAAAGUAUCUGCAGUCUGCAGAAAAAAUUAAAUAAAACACUGCAAUGUUUAUGUUUCCAGUCCAAUAACUGUUACUGAUUUUGCAGGAACAAUCAGGUUUUUCCCCAAAGUAAAAGUCCUGUUCUUCCUCCCCAUUUCCCAUCUCUGGAGCUGUGGAAAUGAACUCUACACUUACCAGGAGCACUGCAAGCAAGAUCCUGCCAGAUAAGAUUCUUCUCCAUUUUGAGUAGUUACAGGGAAAUUUCAGAGCAGUUUUACCCACACCAAACAGCAAGAGAUUCCCCAUGUCUUUUGAAAAGAGGGUAUGACAUUAAAUAAA